CGGCUCCUCCGACGGCAAGGUGCUCCGGCGUGAAGAUGCUGGAAGCUGCCCCUGCUGAUCUCCUCCUCGUGCAACAACAACGUCAGCAACUAGGUUUUGGUUCCCCUCCCUCCCCCAAUUGCAUCUUCAGGAACACAUGCAUUUUCUGUUACACAUUUGGGCCCUGUCUGAUGCAAGGCAUUGAGCUUGGACAUGUAGUUUCAGUUGACGCACUACUUAUGGUGACCCUCGACGUUGGUGGCAAAGAAGGUAUGGUCGUUCCGGUCCACGCGCAGCUCCGCCAUGUGAUGCGCCACCGGCUAUGCCAUGUUCUAAAUUGUCAGGUUCUAGCCCCACAUGCAGCUCCUGAAGUCCCUCAAUGGUAUCACGAAAAAGGGCGAGGAGUUCAUCGUGUUGCAGUAGCUUCAUGCAUGUACGCUUAGUUUAGUCAUGGCAUUUGUGCAUAGCCGUUGAGUUUGCAACGGCUCGCUAGCUAAGGAUUUAACAGCCAGCUAGCUAAUUUACUUUUCUUUAUACAUCAGUAGCCAAACACCUCAAUUUUAUUUGAAUCAAUUGUGAUGGAGACAUCAAAUGCAUUUUGCCUACCUAGAUGUUCAUGAGCUGCAAGAAUUGCAUAUACAUGAGAUUUUUAUCCUCUAUAGAAAUCAAAUUGUCAAUCAAUUUUAUUUGAAUCGAUUCUGUAGCUAUGUUCAUGGUAGAAAUAGCGGGGAAGGGCUAAUUGACGGGUAGCCACACCCUUUGCCCCCCACUGGGACAAAUUGUUUACAACAAAUUAUUUGCCCCCCUUACAAGUUAAAAGCUGAUGAAUGAUUACCAAACAUGCUGGGUGGCAAAUAAAUGAAGAGUGACUUAUUAAGGAAUUGUACAAUAUGUUGUGUUCUGGUUUGUGCAUGUGAAUUAUGUUUCAGAGCGUGUUCGGAGCGACGUGCCAUGAUGGGUGGUCAAGUACACCUUCAAGGCAACCUCAACCUACACGCUUAUGUGCCGAAGAAGAAUAGGGAGAGAGGUAAGGGCGAACCGCGGCUCAAUACCUUCACGGGAUUAUGUCUUUCUUGCACGUCAAAGAAACCUGAAGGGGGGUGGGUCAACCUAGGCUCUGGCUUGAGGAUUGAUGCAUAUAGUGGGAAGUUCAAGGAGGGCAACAGGCCUGAUUUUGAUCCGGCCUUACAGGACAUUGAUGUUAUGUUUUCCCUCCAGGCAGGAGAAGGCAAGAAGGGUGGCCGGUUAUAUGUUGGUGAUGGUGCCAUCCAUAAGUACAUUCCAAAACUCGCCCACCUUCGUGCUACCACGUCGAGCUCAGCUCCUGCUAUAGAGCGUCGCCCACAGCCUGGCUUGCACAUGAUGCAUCAUUUCAAGGCCCGCCUAGAGGAAGAAACUAGAGGUUGCUGCAGGAAGAAACCAGGUUGCGGAAGGAGGCUCGGACCAAUUCCCUCCUUCAACAGGAGCAAGCCAUGAAAAUGCAGCAAGCCCUCUUGCAACAACAGGAAUUCAUAGCCAAACAACAGGCGGCCCUGCUUGAUACGUUUUCUCAGUUUAAAACUAAUAUGCAGGGUUCUACUUUGCCGGAUCUUCCUCCUCUUUCGCCUCUUCCUACUUUAAGCUUUGUUCUCAGUCGGGACAAGCCUCAAAUAACUUCUUGGUACUUGGAUCCAUACCUACCCAAGCAAGCCCGGUGACACCCACUACGGCUUCGACCUCCUUGCAACAAUGAUCACUCGAGGUUUGCAUCGUGGAUGCCAUUGACGGUGGGCAUACAUGCUACGGUGGAGCUCAUUGCAUCUUUGAGGUUCAUGCUUGGUGUGAACUUGGAACUCAUGCUUUUGUUUGUGAACCUUGUUGGAUAUGCACGCAUGUUGUUGUGAACCUUGUUGGAUAUGUCGUGUGCGAACAGCAUGUUGUUGUGAAGCUUCGUUAGACAUACGCAUGUAUGGACUUGGAACUUAUGGUCCUUUCGUUUGCAAA